UCUCCCUGCAUGAUGGAGGUCAGUCUUAAACCUGGGCCAUGCACAUGACAAAGCAAUGUGCCACCAUCCAGGAUUUUGCUGGAGAUACAUGCCUGCAGAAUUCCACUGCUCUCAGUGGUCUCUCCCCCCCCCCCCCAUCACUUCCAACUCAGGAACAACCCAGUAAUAUGUUCUGCUUUAGAGCAAAGGCCCAGAGGCGUGAAAUGGACUAGCUCUUGGAAAAUUGGAAGCUACCAGGUUCCAGAUGCCAGCAUGAUGCCAACGAGACUUCCCUGGACAGACAACCCCACCAAUGUGUCCUGGAGCUCUGCUUCCCCAGAGCCCCACCCCACUAGGGAAAGAGAGAGGCAGGCUGGGAGUAUGGAUCCACCUGUCAACACCCAUGUUCAGCAGGGAAGCAAUUACAGAAGCCAGACCUUCCACCUUCUGCAACCCACAACGACCCUGGAUCCAUACUCCCAGAGGGAUAAAGAAUAGGAAAACUAUCAAGGGAGGGGAUGGGAUACAGAGUUCUGGUGAUGGGAACUGUGUGGAGUUGUACCCCUCUUAUCCUAUGGUUUUGUCAAUGUUU